AUUGUGUCAGCCGCCGCGCGGUAAUACGGAGGAUGCAAGCGUUGCUCGGAAUUAUUGGGCGUAAAGGGCAGGUAGGUGGUCUCAUUUGUCUGGGGUGAAAGCCUUGGGCUUAACCCAAGAAGUGCCCCAGAAACGGUGAGACUCGAGUGCCGGAGAGAUGAGUGGAAUUCCCGGUGUAGCAGUGAAAUGCGUAGAGAUCAGGAGGAACACCAGAGGCGAAGGCGGCUCACUGGACAGCAACUGACACUCAACUGCGAAAGCGUGGGGAGCAAACAGGAUUAGAUACCCUAAUAGUCCACGCUAUAAACGAUGGGUACUAGGCUUAGUAGGUCUUGACCCCCGCCAAGCCAAAGCUAACGCAAUAAGUACCCCGCCUGGGAAGUACAGUCGCAAGACUAAAACUCAAAGGAAUUGACGGGGGCCCGCACAAGCGGUGGAUCAUGUGGUUUAAUUCGAAGCAACGCAAAGAACCUUACCUGGGUUUGACAUCUCCUGACAGCCAGAAAGAUCCGGUUUCUGUAGCAAUACAGCAGGAAGACAGGUGCUACAUAACUGUCGUCAGCUCAUGUAAUGACAUGUUGGGUUAAGUCCCGCAACGAGCGCAACCCUUGUCCUUAGUUGCCAGCAUUCAGUUAAACUCUCUAAGGAGACUGCCGUGGUUAACACAAAAAAAGGUAAAGAUAACAUCAAGUCCUCAUGGCCUUUAUAUCCAGGGCGACACACGUGAUACAAUGGACGGUACAGAAAGAAGCGAAGCCGCGAAGCAGAGCCAAUCUCAAAAAGCCGUUCUCAGUUCGGAUUGAGUCUGCAACUCGACUCCAUGAAGUUGGAAUCGCUAGUAAUCGCGGAUCAGCACGCCGCGGUGAUACGUUCCCGGGCCUUGCACACACCGCCCGUCAAAUACACGUCUGACUGGAAACCCUGGCGUUACCCACUAAUCGCUGCAGCACAUCCCCUUCUGCCCAGCUGGCGUAAUAACGAAAGCCGCACCGAUUGCUUCCCACAGUUGCCACCGGAAUGGGAAUGGCCGGAUGCGAAUUUCUCACACUUUGCGAUUCACAGAUGGACCCGCACUGCUUUAGGCCAGUUAGCGGCCGGAC
rnacentral:rRNA from 1 species